rnacentral:misc_RNA from 1 species
UUUCCGUAGGUGAACCUGCGGAAGGAUCAUUAAUAAAUGGUCUACGUUUUUAGUAGAGCAUUAAUAAUCCUACCCUUUGUGAAUUUGUUGUUUUGAAAUAAUUUUUUUUAAAAUUAUUGAUGUCUUUCCCUGUUGAAUUGGUUGUCGUAAGACAAAUGAUUCGCAGGGGAUGUCAGUAAUUUUUAAAAAGACCUUUUUUAAAAUUAAACUUUUUGUAUUCAUUUGUCUAAAAUUAUUUUUAUAAUAUAAAAACAACUUUUGACAAUGGAUCUCUUGGUUCUCGCAACGAUGAAGAACGCAGCAAAAUGCGAUAAGUAGUGUGAAUUGCAGAAUACGUGAAUCAUCGAAUCUUCGAACGCAUAUUGCACUUUUCUAGUUUACUAGAAAAGUACGUCUGUUUGAGUAUCAGCAAAAUAUUCUCAUAAAAACUAUUUGUUUUUAUGGUUAUGAGUGUUUUACAACGAUACAAGUUGUUUCACUUUAAAUUUUUUUUUAAAAUUUGAAAUUUUUUCUAAUUUUAAUAUAAAAUUGGAUAAAAUUUUCCCGUAAAAAGGAAUAACCUAAACAAUUUUAUAACUAUUAGAAUUUUUUCAAAAUAAAAAGGAAAAUUUAUUAAAAUAACUUGAUCUCAAAUCAGAUAAGAGUACCCGCUGAACUUAAGCAUAUCAAUAAGCGGAGGAAAAGAAACUAACAAGGAUUCCCUUAGUAACGGCGAGUGAAGCGGGAAGAGCUCAAAUUUGAAAUCUUCAAGGUUUUACCUUGACGAAUUGUAGUUUAAAGAAGUGUUUUCUGUUGAAGUUUUGGUAAAAGUUCUUUGAAAUAGGACAUCAUAGAGGGUGAGAAUCCCGUAUUUGACCAUUAUUUUCAGCUGUGUGAUACACUUUCAAAGAGUCGGAUUGUUUGGGAAUGCAGUCCAAAAUGGGUGGUAAAUUUCAUCUAAAGCUAAAUAUUGGCGAGAGACCGAUAGCGAACAAGUACCGUGAGGGAAAGAUGAAAAGAACUCUGAAAAGAGAGUUAAACAGUACGUGAAAUUGUCAAAAGGGAAGCGUUUGACACCAGUGUUGUUUUCUCGAAAAUCAAUUAAAAAGAGUUUGAUUUUGUUGUGUAUUGACCUUAACAACUUGCAUUUCAAUUUUCUUGCUUUUUUUAAUGCACUUUUCGUUUAACAAGUCAACAUCAGUUUCUUUUGUUGUAAAAAGGUCAUUGGAAGGUGGCUUUCUUUUCGGAGAAAGUGUUUAUAGCCUUUGACUUCUGCAAUCGGAGAGACUGAGGUCUGCAGCGUAGAUCCUUCGGGGUUAGAUACAUUUGUGCUAAGUUAUAGCUUUUAUAGACAACUUGUUGACUAUGAUUAGUCUUGUAGCUUACUCGCUUAUGCUAUUUUACCUACGCUUAGGAUGUUGAA